CCUACGGGACGCAGCAGUGAGGAAUAUUGGUCAAUGGACGAGAGUCUGAACCAGCCCAGUAGCGUGAAGGAUGACUGCCCUAUGGGUUGUAAACUUCUUUUAUAUGGGAAUAAAAUGUUCCACGUGUGGGAUUUUGUAUGUACCAUAUGAAUAAGGAUCGGCUAACUCCGUGCCAGCAGCCGCGGUAAUACGGAGGAUCCGAGCGUUAUCCGGAUUUAUUGGGUUUAAAGGGAGCGUAGGUGGAUUGUUAAGUCAGUUGUGAAAGUUUGCGGCUCAAACGUAAAAUUGCAGUUGAAACUGGCAGUCUUGAGUACAGUAGAGGUGGGCGGAAUUCGUGGUGUAGCGGUGACAUGCUUAGAUAUCACGAAGAACUCCGAUUGCGAAGGCAGCUCACUGGACUGCAACUGACACUGAGGCUCGAAAGUGUGGGUAUCAAACAGGAUUAGAUACCCGAGUAGUC
rnacentral:rRNA from 1 species